GACGAACGCUGGCGGCGUGCCUAAUACAUGCAAGUAGAACGCACAGUUUAUACCGUAGCUUGCUACACCAUAGACUGUGAGUUGCGAACGGGUGAGUAACGCGUAGGUAACCUGCCUGGUAGCGGGGGAUAACUAUUGGAAACGAUAGCUAAUACCGCAUAAUAUUAAUUAUUGCAUGAUAAUUGAUUGAAAGAUGCAACUGCAUCACUACCAGAUGGACCUGCGUUGUAUUAGCUAGUAGGUGAGGUAACGGCUCACCUAGGCGACGAUACAUAGCCGACCUGAGAGGGUGAUCGGCCACACUGGGACUGAGACACGGCCCAGACUCCUACGGGAGGCAGCAGUAGGGAAUCUUCGGCAAUGGACGAAAGUCUGACCGAGCAACGCCGCGUGAGUGAAGAAGGUUGUCGGAUCGUAAAGCUCUGUUGUAAGAGAAGAAUGGGUGUGAGAGUGGAAAGUUCACACUGUGACGGUAUCUUACCAGAAAGGGACGGCUAACUACGUG
rnacentral:rRNA from 1 species